UACGUAGGGUGCGAGCGUUAAUCGGAAUUACUGGGCGUAAAGUGUGCGCAGGUGGCUUCGCAAGUCGAGUGUGAAAUCCCCGGGUUUAACCUGGGAAUUGCGCUCGAAACUACGGAGCUGGAGUAUGGCAGAGGGAGGUGGAAUUCCACGUGUAGCGGUGAAAUGCGUAGAGAUGUGGAGGAACACCAAUGGCGAAGGCAGCCUCCUGGGCCAAUACUGACACUCAUGCACGAAAGCGUGGGGAGCAAACAGG
rnacentral:rRNA from 1 species